rnacentral:rRNA from 1 species
UGGGGAAUUUUGGACAAUGGGGGAAACCCUGAUCCAGCCAUCCCGCGUGUGCGAUGAAGGCCUUCGGGUUGUAAAGCACUUUUGGCAGGAAAGAAACGUCGCGGGUUAAUACCCCGCGGAACUGACGGUACCUGCAGAAUAAGCACCGGCUAACUACGUGCCAGCAGCCGCGGUAAUACGUAGGGUGCAAGCGUUAAUCGGAAUUACUGGGCGUAAAGCGUGCGCAGGCGGUUCGGAAAGAAAGAUGUGAAAUCCCAGAGCUUAACUUUGGAACUGCAUUUUUAACUACCGGGCUAGAGUGUGUCAGAGGGAGGUGGAAUUCCGCGUGUAGCAGUGAAAUGCGUAGAUAUGCGGAGGAACACCGAUGGCGAAGGCAGCCUCCUGGGAUAACACUGACGCUCAUGCACGAAAGCGUGGGGAGCAAACAGGAUUAGAUACCCUGGUAGUCCACGCCCUAAACGAUGUCAACUAGCUGUUGGGGUCUUCGGACCUUGGUAAGCGCAGCUAACGCGGUGAAGUUGACCGCCUGGGGAGUACGGUCGCAAGAUUAAAACUCAAAUGAAUUG